UCUUAUCAUUUAAUUAUUUUCAAUCGAUUAAUCAUAUGUCUUUGAUACUUUUUUUUUUGCAUGUUUUAAAUCUUUUUACUUAUUUGUAUUGAAAUUAUGCAUGGAGUGAUCAAGUUAUGGAUGAAAUCAUGAUAGUUGUUCCAAGGCUACUUUUGCUUUAUGUUCUUGCUUUAUGUUCGAUGAUUAAAUUUGUUUACUUGGAAUUCAUACUUUUUUUUCAUCUAUUAAUUAUGUAUUUGAUAUAUUUUUUUUGCAUGUUUUAAAUCUAUCUAGAUUUUUUACAUAUUUGUUUAGCAUUUGGAAUUGAAGGAAAGGUCCACAUGUUCGCUACAUUUUGAUAUGUUGUGGGUAGUAGAAGAUGAUGGGGUUGAACGAAGAAAAGCAAAGUAGAUUGAAGAUGUGUUAACUAGAUAAAAUGGUCAAGGACAAGGAACACGUAUAGUUUGGCUCUUAAUUGUUUAAGAAUUUUGAUUUGAAUUGUUUUGAAUGUUAGACUAGGUAGUCUCAUGGAAGAAAGUCAUGUAUUUUUUUUUUACUUUAAGAAUUUUAAUUUGAAUGAA